rnacentral:tRNA from 1 species
GCCUGGGUGGCUCAGUCGGUUGAGCGUCUGACUCCGGCUCAGGUCAUGAUCUCACCAUUGUGGGUUCGAGCCCCGCAUUGGGUU